UCCAGACUCCUACGGGAGGCAGCAGUGGGGAAUAUUGCGCAAUGGGGGCAACCCUGACGCAGCAACGCCGCGUGCAGGAAGAAGGUCUUCGGAUUGUAAACUGUUGUCGCAGGGGAAGAAGACAGUGACGGUACCCUGUGAGAAAGUCACGGCUAACUACGUGCCAGCAGCCGCGGUAAUACGUAGGUGACAAGCGUUGUCCGGAUUUACUGGGUGUAAAGGGCGCGUAGGCGGGAUAGCAAGUCAGUCGUGAAAUGCCGAGGCUUAACCUCGGAGCUGCGAUUGAAACUGUUAUUCUUGAGUAUCGGAGAGGAAAGCGGAAUUCCUAGUGUAGCGGCGGAAUGCGUAGAUAUAUGGAAGAACACCAGUGGCGAAGGCGGCUCUCUGGUCUGCAACUGACGCUGAGGCUCGAAAGCAUGGGUAGCGAACAGGAUUAGAUACCCCAGUACUG
rnacentral:rRNA from 1 species